rnacentral:rRNA from 1 species
CCUACGGGGUGCUGCAGUCGAGAAUCAUUCACAAUGGGGGAAACCCUGAUGGUGCGACGCCGCGUGGGGGAAUGAAGGUCUUCGGAUUGUAAACCCCUGUCAUGUGGGAGCAAAUUAAAAAGAUAGUACCACAAGAGGAAGAGACGGCUAACUCUGUGCCAGCAGCCGCGGUAAUACAGAGGUCUCAAGCGUUGUUCGGAAUCACUGGGCGUAAAGCGUGCGUAGGCUGUUUCGUAAGUCGUGUGUGAAAGGGGCGGGCUCAACCCGCGGAAGGGACAUGAUACUGCGAGACUAGAGUAAUGGAGGGGUAACCGGAAUUCUCGGUGUAGCAGUGAAAUGCGUAGAUAUCGAGAGGAACACUCGUGGCGAAGGCGGGUUCCUGGACAUUAACUGACGCUGAGGCACGAAGGCCAGGGGAGCGAAAGGGAUUAGAUACCCUUGUAGUC